rnacentral:misc_RNA from 1 species
GAUGAAGAACGCAGCGAAAUGCGAUAAGUAGUGUGAAUUGCAGAAUUCAGUGAAUCAUCGAAUCUUUGAACGCACAUUGCGCCCCUUGGUAUUCCAUGGGGCAUGCCUGUUCGAGCGUCAUUGCAACCCCUCAAGCACAGCUUGUGUGUUGGGCUCUCGUCCCCCGUGGACGGGCCUGAAAUGCAGUGGCAGCACCGAGAUACCGGUGUCUGAGUGUAUGGGCAUUGAUCAUCACUCGAUAGACCCGAUCGGCGCUGACCGUCAAACCACGAUUCCUCGGAAUCAUCCAGUUUUGACCUCGGAUCAGGUAGGAAUACCCGCUGAACUUAAGCAUAUCAUAAGCGGAGGA